AUCUAGCUGACGAGUCCCAAAUGGGACGAAAUGAGGGUCCUGGAU
rfam:Schistosoma haematobium scaffold1225_6, whole genome shotgun sequence.